rnacentral:lncRNA from 1 species
UGGGGACGUACAGUAAUGACAUGAACUGGUGAGUAAUUUCUUGAUUUUGCAAUACCACCUAGGGAUAGGGGUAGGACGAUCAAUUGCGCUAACUUUUGUUUAUAAUGCGGUAUUAAUUGCUAGGGGAGGCUAGGGAUAGCAAGCCAGUAGUUAAUAUUAGGCUCUUUUCGCCGAGGGAUCGGGUUAAGGGGAGGCUAAGAAUGUCGCAUAACAAUUAAUUAAUCAAACUAAUAUUCAAGAGAAGUAGGUAAGAGAGAGCGGAUUAGAUGAAAUUGUAAACCGCCAACAACAUCCAUUCCUCCAUUGUUUUCUUUUGUCAAUUGAAUCAACUUUAUUUUGCAUGUUAAUAUUUUUGUUCUCAAAUCCAAUAUAUUAAUUUUUAU